AGUACUAAAACCCAUUGGUUUUUAUUUAGCAAUGUCUUCAUCGUAGGGGCUGUUUAUUUUUUCCCUUGGAAAAGCCAUAUCCGUUAUCUUCCUUCCGCUACAAAUCCCAUCCGAGCAGAUAAAAGCUCCUCACAGCUCCCGGGGCUGUGUCCACCCCCAAGCCCUGCUCACCUGCAUCCACUGAGGGGGGAGAUGGGGAGGAAGCCAGUCCUGGCAGAGUGCUGAACAUGCUGUGGGUCCAGGUGAGCUCCCUCCCAGUGGGAGCAUCCAAUGAAGGCUGCAGCAAAGAGUGGGUGGAAGAGCAGAGCCAGGAGCUGCACGGGCGCAGCAGCUUCCCGUCCUGAUGAGAAAGGCAAAGUUAUUUUGGGAACAUCAUGAAUGAAAACCGAGAGGUGACCCAGGCAGCCAUGAGGUGGGGGCAGCCAGAGACAACACUUCUACCCACAGAAGAUGCUCCGGAGGCUGUUCGCCUUUGAUUCCUUCUCCCCAGUGCAAUGAGGAGCAAUUAUCCUUCCCAUAAAAGACUCCUUCUUUUAGGGGACUCAUAGCGACUUCAAAGAAAGGGCAGGUCUCUCUGGGGAACAAAGUUGUCAUUUGAGUGAUUCUAGGCUGAUGAAAAGUGCCCGCCUGCUGCUGCCCGGCCCUCUGCUCCCACCCAGGCUUGGUUCAAAGCGAGCAGCCCCAGGGGAUGGUGCAUUCCAUGCAGUGAUCCCAUGCUGUGGGACCCCACCUCGGCCGGGACCUGCAGCUCUGAUGCUCACCUGGCAUUGCCCAUAGGGCUGAGCAGCAUUUUGGGGCUCACUCCUUGCAAACAGGAGCUGCUUCCCAGCUGCUGCUGUGGUUGUAGGUGGGAGGAUGGGCACAGUGACCCCAUACCCAAACAUUGCAGCAGCCUUGUGGGGAAGCAGCCUGGUUCCCCAAGCUCUCAGCACCCAAUUGCCUGCAGCCCCAUGGGAUGUGAUGCGCUGAAAGAGUCCCUGUUUCAUCCCUCACAUGCGGAAAGAAAGCACAAAGAAGUCACACAAGCACCAGCAGCUUUGCUGGAGCCACUUAGGGCUGUGCUACCCCACGCAGCGAUGGGAGGGAGCUGGGUUGCAAUGAGGCAGAAGGCACCAGAAAAGCAGGCUGGUUUCAGGUGUCCCGAGCGCUGCCGACCUGAUCUUAUCUCCAGCUCUGGGUAGGGGUUAUCUCUGCUUCCUGUGAUGAAAGCACCGUGAGAGACAGUGCUGGCAGGGGAGGUGAGGUGAAUGCCAUUUGGUAACACAGGUGUCUGACUUUACUUGCGACAAAGGCAGCCCCGAGGUGCAGAAAGACCCCUGUCCAACCUUGAGUCCCUGCCCCUAUUGCCCCCUGCAUCCCCACCUUGGGUGCAGGACACCUCUGCUCCCUCACCCCAGCUCCCCAUUGCUUUUGUACUGAUGAGUACUGAUGAUCUGCAACCUCCACCUGCCAUUUCCUCCAAGCUGGAAUUCCCAGCUCCUGGAUUCAGCCACCUCCACCUUUUGGUCGGAUUUCAGAGCCCAACAUUCUUUCUCAGGACCCAUUUUUCUCCCACUUCACGCAGUCCCAUCUCAACCCAGCGUUAGCAGUCAGCAGAGCUGAGGCUGCGAGCAGAAGCCUGGACGUGGUGGGGGAUGAGGCAACGAGGGGCUGGGAUGCAAAUCUUGGCAGAAACCUUCUCUGAGGCUUUCUGGCUCCCAGCAAUGCUCCAAUCUGCUAAUUGACUGCACGCAGCCCCGGCUGAGCUCUGACUUCCAGCUUGUGCAUCGCUCAGCACAGCCGCACGGAUGCGUGGGAUGCACAGCAUCCUCGUGUCACGUUUGUGGGGAACAAUGGGGCUGCUGAGCAAAGCCAGCCCUACAUGGGGACACUGCAGGCAUCACUCUGUGUCCCUGUCCCGUCCCCCACCUCCCCAGACAGCUGCAUAGGUUCAUUUCCCUGGCAAAUGAACAGCGGGGAAGGGGGCAAAUAAUGCUGGAGCCCAGGUGGCCCCUCUCACUGCCCAGUCCCAAUGGGAUACUGGCGGGGGGACAGGGAGAGAAAGGGGGAAUGAGUGGUCUGGGAGUGCUCGCUGGUGGGGAUUAAAGGCUCAAUCUUGAGAUGAGAGAAGGAAAUGAGAAUUAAAUCAGUUCCUAGCGCCUGUUCGGUGUUGGGGGAGGAUUUAUUGCUGGGGUCAGGACGGCAGCACAGC
ensembl:lncRNA